GGUAAGAUGGCCGAGAGCGAGGCGGUGGCUUGUAGCUCCACCGAGGAAGGUUAAAGUCCUUCUCUUAUCA
rnacentral:tRNA from 1 species